UGAGCACCGGUCGGCUUGUCUCUUCUGUCGGCGAUACGCUCCUGGCCUUAACUGGCCGGGUCGUGCCUCCGGCGCUGUUACUUUGAAGAAAUUAGAGUGCUCAAAGCAAGCAUACGCUCUGCAUACAUUAGCAUGGGAUAACAUCAUAGGAUUUCGAUCCUAUUGUGUUGGCCUUCGGGAUCGGAGUAAUGAUUAACAGGGACAGUCGGUGUAAUAACCCUGACCUUAGAGGACAAGUCAACGCAAAGUCAACGAUGUGGAAUCAUCCAGUAACUAAAGUGGAAAGGUGUAUGAAGAUGUUUAUGGAGGUUCGAUCGAGGAGUUUUGAAGAACGAUCGAGCAUAAGUAAAAAUGGUUCGAGGAGUUAGAAACUAAGCUACGGAAUGGUGAUGGCCGAACAUGGAGGAUUUCCAAAGUCAGCAACUCAAGUAAGACUUAAUCUCAAUCAUCAAGUUGAGAUAGGAGAAGACAUUUGGUCGAAUCAGAAUCAAGUUUGUUCGAGAGCGUAAGGAAGCAGUCGAAAAGCAGUACCGGAGAUAGUCUACAUCAGAGGUUCGGUAGCAGCAUGAAGACAAAGGUGAUCAACAUAAAUCAAGGAGUUAAGGAGUCAACCUAGAAACCUUAUUUAAGGUAUUUGAAGACAUAUUAGAGAGUCUAGCCAAAACAUAACCAAGAUGAUCCGGAGAAGAGCAGUUUUGGUCGAUAUGGUCAAAAUGAGCUGGAGGAGAGCUAAGGAAGCCAAAUGAAGAUAUGCAAAGAUGAGAAAGGAGUUCAAAGGGGUGUUUUACACAUUUCCUCGGGUUUUGAAAAUGGUCAACUCAGAAGUCAAUGUCAACCAAAGUCAAAGGAGAGAGAAAGUGCCUUAUUGGUCCAUUUACCACUUCCGAGCAACCAAUAGGAGCAUGCCACGUGUAGGAGACAAAAUUCCUUCAAACCAGGACAAGGUGUGGAAUAAAUCAAGGGAUUUUUGAGUGAAGAAAUCAUGGGCAAAAGACAUCUAGAGAGCAAGGAAUCAUGAAGACACAUUUUAUACCCGAAAUGGGCUAUAAAUGGCAAAGAAGACAUGGGCAGGAGAAAUGGGUUUCUACCUCAAAAACUCAACAUCUAAGGUUCAUUGAGGACCCAAAUGAAGUAAUGGAGCAGACUGGAGCAAUCAUAUGAAGCUGGGAGUAAGUGGAGCAGUCCAUGAAUCAAACGUGGUAAAAAGCCCUUCAUGAAGAAGAAUUAUUUGGAGUGGAAUCACGUCAGGCACGAAGGAGAGCAUGCAUUGGUCAAUUCAGCACCUCAUGGAGUCUACAGGAAUAAUGGGGAACAAACCUAAGGAGUAGGUUUACCAAGUGUUUUGCAAAUAGCUCAUUUAAGCCUUAAAAAUGGGUUAUGUGGCAAAGUAACUUGCCGAUCAAGUUUGGAGCUGCAAUUUGGUACACUUGAACUUCAAGGUAAAGUAAGUGACCUUCCAGAAGCUCAGAAGAAAAGGAGUAGACUAAGUGUAUUUACCCACAUGCAUGAAUUUCGAGUUUAAAUUGGUGACAAGUGUGUGAACAUGUGUCAAGUGCUCUCAUCCCUCCCUUUGGCUAUAAAUAGAACCCUUAGGAUGUGUUUUUGAAGUUUAGAAACCCCUGAGAUUUCUCUCUCAGUCGAUCUUAUGGUUUGUUCUAGAGAGAGAAAAUGGCUUAAAACCGAUAAAAUUUUUGAGUGUGUGAGGUGAGUGUGGAAGGCUUUUGCGUGGCUUGAUCCUUGCUAUAGGAUCAGUUGUAGAGUGCUAGGAGUGGUGGUAAGACCUUAGUUGAUCGUUUAUAGGUUCCCUUUCCCUCUUAGCCUUUAGCCUCUCUUUGAUCGGUUUUAGUGUUAACCUUAGGUCUUUUGCUUUUGGAGCUGUUGUGCGGUUUGUGAAGUCUUAGGUGGGUUUCCCUGGUUGUGUUGUGUGUUCUAACCGUGUGUGUGUGCAAGUGGAAGAGCAAGAGACGUUUUAGUUCUUGUGUUUGAACCGCAUUUGCGGUUAUGAGUGUUUGUGUGUGUGUGUAUGGGAGAUUGGUAGUCCCCAUACUUGAGUGUUUACUUUCUUGCAUGCAUUAGUUGUAUUUUUGCAUUGCAUGUCUUGUGGUGGUUAACAUAUUCAUCUAGGGGUGAUGAUAUGCUAGACAUGCAUUGUGUUGUUAGGUCGUUAGUUGCAUGCAUGCAUUCGUUUGAUUAGUUGUAGCUUAUGAGUGGUUGUUGUGAAGCAUGUAGAUUUGAGUGUAACUCUCUCAUGUAGUUCAUAUACUCAUGCAUUGUAGUGUAGUUUGGGGUUGCAAAGAGAUUUGAGUGAGACUCUCUCUUUUGCCGGGUAGUUGUAGUGUGUCGCUCGCUUUAGUUGUUUUAGGUUGAGUCUAGGCUUAGGGUUGCAUUGAGGUUUGUGGCUUUGCCCCCUCAUGCUAGUAUGUUUGUGUUUUGUCUAGGCUAGGGCGAGUGUGGGAUGUGUUGCGCAUUUAGUCUAGUUGUGCGUGGAGGUUAGAGGUGGAGCUCCCUCACGCUUGAUUAUUGUUUUGAUGUGUUGUGUUGCAUCUAGACUAAAGUGCAUUGCUGUCUCGGAGUUAGAUUGGGAGAUACCCAAUUCUCCAGUGGUGGAGUGACCUUCUCUCCAUGGCUUGUCACGUGAAGUGGGUCGCGCCCAUGGACAAGCGCUGCAUGACGAUGCGGCCCGAGUUAGAUUGGGAGAUGCCCAAUUCUCGGAGAUGAUGUUUUCCGAUCAUGUGACUUAUGUGUUUGUGGUCGGGAGUGUUCAGUUGGGAGAGUUAGGGCUCUGUGUUCUUAGGGAUCCCGGGAUGUGUUGCGUGUGGCGCCAUCCUUUGAGUGUUUUGUUUUGUAGUGUUCGAGUCUAAGAUUGAGUCUAGAUCGAGUCUUAGUUUUGUAGUUAAGUCUCGGUGGGGAGACAUGGGUGUAGAGUAGUUGCAUUGCUUUCAUGUUUAAGUUUUUGCAUUGCAUUCAUGUUUAAAUUAUCGCAUUGCAUAUUUAAUUUAUGUUGUUGUUAUUGCAUUGCUUUGUUGUGUUGCUCUUGUUGUUUGAGCAUGGGCUGAAGGGGGUAGUUGUUGUUUUGUUUUGGGAACUCACUGAGUAAUUUCGAUUACUCAUUCCCUCUUCUACUAUGCAGGUAACCUUAGGGGAUUGGGCGUUUGCGGGGUGCCGAGGACGAGGCCAGGCGUAGAUUUCCGUUGUUGUUUGCAAGGCGCAAGAUGUUGAUGUUUUUACUCGUUUUGUUUUUCAUGGGUACCCGUUGACUCGUUUGUUUUUAUUUUCUGCUGCGUUUAUCUUUAAGAACUUUAGUCGAGUUCCCGACUUUGUAAAAUAAAUAAAAUUAUGUUUGUUUUAAUAAAAUCCCCGUAGAACGCUGA